UGAUAUGUUCAUUGUGGCUGGGAUAAUUGUGGGGCACUCUUUCCUUCAUGGAGGACCCUGCUUGUCUGGACUCUGUGAUGUGGUUGUCCAUACUGCUUCGUGGGAGCCCAGACACGGCUACAGUAAACCUGGAGGACUGUGCAGACCUGGACAUUAGAGAAACAAUCAGGCUUCUGGAGGUGGAAUCAAACCUAUCAGCUGAAGAAAUGGGAAGGGUACAGAACGUGGCCUCUUCCUGGGACCUCCCUCCGCUAACCACAACCAACAGGGCCCUUAAUGCUCUGCGGUGAAAAAAGGAGCAACAAGGCUGACCGUGACAUCGGGAGAGCUGAGGCAGAUCAUCUUAAACAUGAUGCACCUGGACGGUCCGGUGGCGGAGACUUCAAGAAUUAAAUAAAAUUACAAUGAAAUGGAUAACGUUUGUUUGACUGUUUGUUUACGCCUAGCUUGCUAUUGUAAUGUAGGCCUAUUAGAUUAUGUAUUUAUCAUCUAGAUGGUUAAGUUGGUAAAUGAAAAUGCUUAAUGCACAUUUUAAAAGCCUAUAAUAGGAUAAUAUAGGCUUAUUUUAACAGCAAUAGUAUGGGUAAUGGUAAAGUUAGUAAGUGCUUAAUGCACAUUAUUUAAAAGCCUAUAAUAGGAUAAUAUAGGCUUAUAAAUUAAUAUAUAACAGCAAAAUUCUGGUUGAAAAUAGGUCCAUGGCAGCACCUAAACAAGACGUGGUUUCAACCAAAUUUAAACGUUGAAAAGGCGUCUUUCCAUAGACGU